rnacentral:tRNA from 1 species
GCCGGGGUGGCGGAAUUGGCAGACGCAAGGGACUUAAAAUCCCUCGGCCUUUUGGGCUGUGCCGGUUCGAGUCCGGCUCCCGGCA